AUGUCCUACGGGGCGCAGCAGUGAGGAAUAUUGGUCAAUGGGCGGGAGCCUGAACCAGCCAAGCCGCGUGAGGGAAGAAGGUACAGCGUAUCGUAAACCUCUUUUGUCAGGGAACAAAGGCGGGGACUAGUCCCCGGAUGAGGGUACCUGAAGAAAAAGCAUCGGCUAACUCCGUGCCAGCAGCCGCGGUAAUACGGAGGGUGCGAGCGUUAUCCGGAUUUAUUGGGUUUAAAGGGUGCGUAGGCGGGCUGUUAAGUCAGCGGUCAAAUGUCGGGGCUCAACCCCGGCCUGCCGUUGAAACUGGC
rnacentral:rRNA from 1 species